rnacentral:lncRNA from 1 species
AAAAGAACCAGGAGAUCAUUGUGCACAGUAUUUUGUAAUUGAAAUUGUAAUAAUGAUCAACUGUGAAAAAUUGGGCUACUCUGAACAAUAAAAUGAUCCAAGACAAUUGCAAAGGAUACAGGAUGAAAAAAAUGCUAUCUAUCUGAAGAGAGAGAACUGAUGAACUCUGAAUACAAACUAGAGACUAAUUUUCUCAUUUUAUUUUUUCUUAAAAUGUGGCUAAUAUGGAAAUAAUAUAUAUGAUUUCACAUGUAUAAUUGAUAUAUCACUUGCCUUCUCAGUGGGUGGAGGAAGAAGUGGGAAGGAGAGUGAGAAUGCAGAACUUCAAAUAUAAAUAGAAAAAAAAUUAAAGGAUUUUGCAGAUGAAUACUAUACUGUACACAAUGGAAAUGCAGUUUGCCACUACUACUGACACAAGUUUGCCAAGUUCAAUUUUUUA